AGAGGGCUCCGCGUCCCGCCGAUCUUCGUAGACCGACACUGGACUGCCGCCGCUGCAACCAGGAAAGAACUUCCGCGGAGGGGCGAACUAGCCAGACACAGAAACGGCGGGACACCAGGAUCCGGCGGUUGCUGCUUGCGCCGCGCUCGGGUAGCAGAGCCUCCACAGGUUCUUCUGUGCUGUGUAUCCGGGAGCUGAUCCAGCCCGCCAGGCACGCAGGCGAGCUGAAAUCAACCAGAGACUGCCCCGUGAACCUCGGACUGCCGAUUUGCAGUCCUGUAACAUUUGCUCCUCCCCUGCAACCCCAAAUCAAUUUGGCACUUCAGCUUCAAUCAGAAGCCCCCACGGUCACCCUGCCCCAGCGCCUGUACUGUGAUUGAGGUUCCUCAGAAGACGAUAGGAUCUCCACAGCAAAGGCAAGGGGGAAGGAAAUGGUAAUAGUUUCUUCAUGUUUAGUCCAAAGGAAACAAACUUUUAACAGCAAAGUGCUCUUGGAGAGGUGUCAAUAGGGGCCUGUGGAGAGAAGAUGACAGAUUGGACAAAAUUAAUCCCUGGGAGUGUGAGUGUGUUUCAGUAAAUGAAGAGACAGGAUGCUAGCAGGGGAGCAACAGAGGGA